rnacentral:tRNA from 1 species
UGCCGUGUAGCUCAGCGAAAGAGCAGCGCCCUUACAAGGCGACGGUCGCAAGUUUGAUCCUUGCCACGUCAACCA